rnacentral:tRNA from 1 species
UAAACGGAAGCCAAUUAGGCAUUUAUCUGUUACAUAAACCUCUGCUCCAUAAGCCCGUUUAG